AUUGAACGCUGGCGGCAUGCCUUACACAUGCAAGUCGAACGGCAGCACGGAGCUUGCUCUGGUGGCGAGUGGCGAACGGGUGAGUAAAAUAUCGGAACGUACCCAGGAGUGGGGGAUAACGUAGCGAAAGUUACGCUAAUACCGCAUACGUCCUAAGGGAGAAAGUGGGGGAUCGCAAGACCUCAUGCUCAUGGAGCGGCCGAUAUCUGAUUAGCUAGUUGGUGGGGUAAAGGCUCACCAAGGCUGCGAUGGGUAGCUGGUCUGAGAGGACGAUCAGCCACACUGGGACUGAGACACGGCCCAGACUCCUACGGGAGGCAGCAGUGGGGAAUCUUGCGCAAUGCGCGACAGCGUGACGCAGCAACGCCGCGUGGGGGAAGAAGGCCUUCGGGUUGUAAACCCCUUUCAGGAGGGACGAAGCCCGGGCCGUUAAUAGCGGUCCCGGGUGACGGUACCUCCACAAGAAGCCCCGGCUAACUACGUGCCAGCCGCCGCAGUAAAAC
rnacentral:rRNA from 1 species